AGCGAACGCUGGCGGCAGGCUUAACACAUGCAAGUCGAACGGUCCUUCGGGAUAGUGGCGGACGGGUGAGUAACACGUGGGAACGUACCCUUAGGUUCGGAACAACACAGGGAAACUUGUGCUAAUACCGGAUAAGCCCUUCGGGGGAAAGAUUUAUCGACUGUGGAACGGCCCGCGUCAGAUUAGCUUGUGGGUGAGGUAAUGGCACACCAAGGCUACGACCAGUAGCUGGUUUGAGAGGAGGGCCAGCCACACUGGGACUGAGACACGGCCCAGACUCCUACGGGAGGCAGCAGUGGGGAAUCUUGCGCAAUGGGCGAAAGCCUGACGCAGCCAUGCCGCGUGGAUGAUGAAGGUCUUAGGAUUGUGAAAUCCUUUCACCGGGGACGAUAAUGACGGUACCCGGAGAAGAAGCCCCGGCUAACUUCGUGCCAGCAGCCGCAGUAA
rnacentral:rRNA from 1 species